GAUGAACUUUGGCGGCGUGCUUAACACAUGCAAGUCGAGCGAAGCAAUUUAAGUGAAGUUUUCGGAUGGAUCUUAGAUUGACUGAGCGGCGGACGGGUAAGUAACGCGUGGAUAACCUGCCUCACACAGGGGGAUAACAGUUAGAAAUGACUGCUAAUACCGCAUAAGCGCACAGUACCGCAUGGUAUAGUGUGAAAAACUCCGGUGGUGUGAGAUGGAUCCGCGUCUGAUUAGGUAGUUGGUGAGGUAACGGCCCACCAAGCCGACGAUCAGUAGCCGACCUGAGAGGGUGACCGGCCACAUUGGGACUGAGACACGGCCCAAACUCCUACGGGAGGCAGCAGUGGGGAAUAUUGCACAAUGGGCGAAAGCCUGAUGCAGCAACGCCGCGUGAGUGAAGAAGUAUCUCGGUAUGUAAAGCCCUAUCAGCAGGGAAGAAAAUGACGGUACCUGACUAAGAAGCCCCGGCUAACUACGUGCCAGCAGCCGCGGUAAUACGUAGGGGGCAAGCGUUAUCCGGAUUUACUGGGUGUAAAGGGAGCGCAGACGGCACUGCAAGUCUGAAGUGAAAGCCCGGGGCUCAACCCCGGGACUGCUUUGGAAACUGUAGAGCUAGAGUGCUGGAGAGGCAAGCGGAAUUCCUAGUGUAGCGGUGAAAUGCGUAGAUAUUAGGAAGAACACCAGUGGCGAAGGCGGCUUGCUGGACAGUAACUGACGUUCAGGCUCGAAAGCGUGGGGAGCAAACAGGAUUAGAUACCCUGGUAGUCCACGCUGUAAACG
rnacentral:rRNA from 1 species